GAUGAACGCUGGCGGCGUGCCUAAUACAUGCAAGUCGAGCGAACGGACGAGAAGCUUGCUUCUCUGAUGUUAGCGGCGGACGGGUGAGUAACACGUGGAUAACCUACCUAUAAGACUGGGAUAACUUCGGGAAACCGGAGCUAAUACCGGAUAAUAUUUUGAACCGUAUGGUUCAAAAGUGAAAGACGGUCUUGCUGCUACUAAUAGAUGCAUCCGCGCUUGAUUAGCUAGUUGGUAAGGUAACGGCGUAACAAGGCAACGAUGGAUAGCCGAACGGGGAGGGUGAUGGGCCAAACUGGGAGUGAGACAGGGCAAAGAGUGCUAGGGGGGGGAGAAGGAGGGGAUUUUCGGAAAUGGAUGGAAGGCUGAACGAGCAAGGACGAGGGAGUGAAGAAGGUUGUCGGGUCGUAAAGCUCUGUUGUAAGAGAAGAACGAGGGUGAGAGUGGAAAGUUCACACUGUGACGGUACCUUACCAGAAAGGGACGGCUAACUACGUG
rnacentral:rRNA from 1 species